rnacentral:rRNA from 1 species
AACGAACGCUGGCGGCAUGCCUAACACAUGCAAGUCGAACGAGACCUUCGGGUCUAGUGGCGCACGGGUGCGUAACGCGUGGGAACCUGCCCUUAGGUUCGGAAUAACUCCCCGAAAGGGGUGCUAAUACCGGAUAAUGUCUUCGGACCAAAGAUUUACCGCCUUUGGAUGGGCCCGCGUUGGAUUAGCUAGUUGGUAGGGUAAAAGCCUACCAAGGCGACGAUCCAUAGCUGGUCUGAGAGGAUGAUCAGCCACGCUGGGACUGAGACACGGCCCAGACUCCUACGGGAGGCAGCAGUGGGGAAUAUUGGACAAUGGGCGAAAGCCUGAUCCAGCAAUGCCGCGUGAGUGAUGAAGGCCUUAGGGUUGUAAAGCUCUUUUACCCGGGAUGAUAAUGACAGUACCGGGAGAAUAAGCUCCGGCUAACUCCGUG